CGUAUCACCCAAGACAACUUUACGGAGUUGACGAUUGACGGAGCGAAGCGACGUCAAAGCGUUCAUUAAAGUCGAGUUGGCUUAGGGAUACGUUCGUUGGGUAGGGGAGCGUUCUGUAAGCCUGUGAAGGUGUGUCGUGAGGCAUGCUGGAGGUAUCAGAAGUGCGAAUGCUGACAUAAGUAACGAUAAAGCGGGUGAAAAGCCCGCUCGCCGGAAGACCAAGGGUUCCUGUCCAACGUUAAUCGGGGCAGGGUGAGUCGACCCCUAAGGCGAGGCCGAAAGGCGUAGUCGAUGGGAAACGGGUUAAUAUUCCCGUACUUGGUGUUACUGCGAAGGGGGGACGGAGAAG
rnacentral:rRNA from 1 species